rnacentral:rRNA from 1 species
CCUACAGGUGGCUGCAGUGAGGAAUAUUGGUCAAUGGGCGAGAGCCUGAACCAGCCAAGUCGCGUGAGGGAAGACGGCCCUAUGGAUUGUAAACCUCUUUUGCCGGGGAGCAAAAAGCGGUACGUGUACCGCUUCGAGAGUACCCGGAGAAAAAGCAUCGGCUAACUCCGUGCCAGCAGCCGCGGUAAUACGGAGGAUGCGAGCGUUAUCCGGAUUUAUUGGGUUUAAAGGGUGCGCAGGCGGGGGGGUAAGUCAGGGGGAAAAGUUCGGGGGCCAACCCCGGCAUAGCCGUUGAUACUGGCUUGCUAGAGUGUGCGAGAAGUAGGCGGAAUGCGUGGUGUAGCGGUGAAAUGCAUAGAGAUCACGCAGAACUCCGAUUGCGAAGGCAGCAUACCGGCCUCCAACUGACGCUCAGGCACGAAAGCGUGGGUAUCGAACAGGAUUAGAUACCCGGGUAGUC